rnacentral:tRNA from 1 species
GGCCCUUCAUUUUGGAAAUAUUUGAUUUUGAAAGUCAUAAAAAGAGGUUCAACUCCUCUAGGGGCUU